AGGAGUUUAGGCUAAUAAGACCGAGGGCCUUCAAAGCCCUAAGUAAGUACCAAUACUUAACUCCUG
rnacentral:tRNA from 1 species